rnacentral:rRNA from 1 species
GACGAACGCUGGCGGCGUGCCUAAUACAUGCAAGUUGAGCGCUGAAGGUUGGUACUUGUACCAACUGGAUGAGCAGCGAACGGGUGAGUAACGCGUGGGGAAUCUGCCUUUGAGCGGGGGACAACAUUUGGAAACGAAUGCUAAUACCGCAUGAAAACUUUAAACACAAGUUUUAAGUUUGAAAGAUGCAAUUGCAUCACUCAAAGAUGAUCCCGCGUUGUAUUAGCUAGUUGGUGAGGUAAAGGCUCACCAAGGCGAUGAUACAUAGCCGACCUGAGAGGGUGAUCGGCCACAUUGGGACUGAGACACGGCCCAAACUCCUAUGGGAGGCAGCAGUAGGGAAUCUUCGGCAAUGGACGAAAGUCUGACCGAGCAACGCCGCGUGAGUGAAGAAGGUUUUCGGAUCGUAAAACUCUGUUGGUAGAGAAGAACGUUGGUGAGAGUGGAAAGCUCAUCAAGUGACGGUAACUACCCAGAAAGGGACGGCUAACUACGUG